UCAUGUUGUAUGACAUUCACCGAAGAUCACUCUCGGUUGGACUAUAGUUUAUUUUGAAUAAACACAAGUCCAAAUACUUUGCAAAAGGUUUCAAAGAAUUCAAGAAAUGUAAGUUGAUGAGUAAGACGUCUAAAGUAUUUGCCUCCUUAGAUUUGAUCCAAAGAAAGAUAACACUUUAGAACAGUUUCCUUGACUAAUAUCAAGGAAAGAAGCAUCAAAAGAUAAUGGAUUUCUCCAUUAGGAGAAGAACGAACUUGAAUAAG
rnacentral:lncRNA from 1 species